rnacentral:pre_miRNA from 14 species
AAGAAGGUCUUCAGAGUUGUGGGUGGGACAAGCCCCCAAAUGAAAGACCACCGGGGUAAGGAAGACCCCCCACUCAAAUCCCGAGAUGACGCAACCCCCAAGAACUCACGAGAAACC